CACGUAGGGCGUAAGCGUUGUCCGGAAUUAUUGGGCGUAAAGAGCUCGUAGGCGGUUUGUCACGUCUGCUGUGAAGAUCCAAGGCUCAACCUUGGACUUGCAGUGGGUACGGGCAGGCUAGAGUGCGGUAGGGGAGAUGGGAAUUCCUGGUGUAGCGGUGGAAUGCGCAGAUAUCAGGAGGAACACCAAUGGCGAAGGCACAUCUCUGGGCCGUAACUGACGCUGAGGAGCGAAAGCGUGGGGAGCAAACAGG
rnacentral:misc_RNA from 1 species